CCUACGGGAGGCAGCAGUAGGGAAUCGUCCGCAAUGGACGAAAGUCUGACGGAGCAACGCCGCGUGAGUGAAGAAGGUUUUCGGAUCGUAAAACUCUGUUGUCAGAGAAGAACAAGUUGGAGAGUAACUGCUCCAGCCUUGACGGUAUCUGACCAGAAAGCCACGGCUAACUACGUGCCAGCAGCCGCGGUAAU
rnacentral:rRNA from 1 species